rnacentral:tRNA from 1 species
AUUUUGAUAGCUUAAGUUAUUAAAGCAUGAUAUUGAAGAUAUCAAUAUAGUUAUUUACUUCAAAAUA